UGCCAAAGGAGAUUUGCUCAC
rnacentral:miRNA from 2 species